GUCUAUGGGAAGAGGGCAGCGAAGACAAGCAC
rnacentral:scRNA from 1 species